AUCUAGCGAACCCACAGCUAAGGGAACGGGCUUAGAAUAAUCAGCGGGGAAAGAAGACCCUGUUGAGCUUGACUCAGUCUAACUG
rnacentral:rRNA from 1 species